CCACAAUGCGCGAAAGCGUGAUGGGGGGAUCCCGAGUGCUUACAUUAUAUGUAAGCUUUUGCCAAGAGUUCACAUCUUGGAGAAUAAGUGGUGGGUAAGACCGGUGCCAGCAGCCGCGGUAACCCCGGCGCCACGAGUGGCAAUCUUUUAUUGGGCCUAAAGCAUUCGUAGCAGGUUUGAAAAAUCCUUUGUGAAAUUGUUGAACUCAAUACAACAGCGUGCAGAGGACACUUUCAGACUAGAGACUGGGAGGAGUUGGGGGUAUGCCUGGGGGAGCGGUUAAAUGCGAUAAUCCUAGGUAGACCACCUGUGGCGAAGGCGCCCAACUAGAACAGUUCUGACUGUGAGGGAUGAAAGCUAGGGUAGCGAGCCGG
rnacentral:rRNA from 1 species